UCUACUGCAGUUUUUCUACCCUUUCACAAAGUUGAGAAGAAAUAGUUUGGAGAGAAGAAACCGAGAGUUGAGGGAAAAAAAAGGAGUGAGGCAGCGACGAUUGAGAAAGAAAAUAGACGAUGUUAGGAGCGUGACGGCUCCCGUUCAACCGAACGCAGCGGCGGCGAGGCUGCUGAACGACGUGCUGGAGGAAGGCGGCGCCGACUCUGUGCUGGCAGCAGCGACCACGGCUGCACGGCGGCGCGAUCCAGCAAUAGCAUCAGCGAAACUUGCUUACGAACAGGGAUGGUGAUUGUUUUAAACUGCGAACUACCCCGAUUGGGCAGGAGAUCGACGACGCUGGUUGAGAGAGGGAUGAAGGGGAUAGACGGAGGCGCAGCUGAGCUUGUCAAGCUCACUGCCCGAUGAAAAGAACGGUGGCAGCGGCGGUGCCGAGUUUUGAAAGAGAUCGGAAUCUGUUUUGGAGACUGCGUGAGCAAGAGAGAGAUUGAGAGUUCUAUUUUGAGGUGAUUUCCGAAUGGUGGCAGCGACGAGGCGGUGCUGCUCAAGAGUCACGAAUGGCAGCAAUCGGGCACCGAGCAGCAGGGGCUCAUGGCGGAAUCACGAGCGUCGGCACAUAGUGACAGCACUGGCCAUGGCGGCAGCUAUCGGCUCGACGGAGAGACUGCGGCGCUGUAAAAUCAGAAAGAGGAGAUGAAGGUAGAAGCAAGACGGAGAGAGUAGACGACGGAGGAGAGAAACAAGUGAAAGGGGGAGGAAGAUUUGAGAUUGCAGGCACUAACAAAUUGAGAGAUGGGAGUUCACGUAAGGAGAUGGAUUGGAGUACUUGGUAUGAGCCAAAAUAAUUAAAUGAAGAUUGGGCCGGAGUAUACUAAACCAAUAGGUGACUUCAUGCACGCUUUUCGAGAAUGAAACGUAAAGAAGAAUUAAGAAGCUAAAUGAACGAGGUUGAGCUGUGACGAGCGCGGUGGGUGUUGAGCAUAAAAGUGAAGAAGAUGUUUAUCAAAUGUUAGGAAUAUGUUGUGUCUUCAUACAUGACAUUAUUCUACUCUCGAAUGCUUCCGCUAAAUAGUAUUUCUUUUCAGUUCAAGUAUUGUUGAGAUAAUAUUCAUUCUGAGUUGUUGAUUGUUGAAGUGAUACUCUGAUU